rnacentral:miRNA from 1 species
AUGAUGAUGAUGAUGAUAUAA